UUUAAUUUACGAAUAGCCCUUUGUAAAUAAACAUAAAAUAAUAUCGAUUCAAUAAUAAAUAACCUAAUUUACAUCACCAAAUUGUAAUUUCUAAAAUUUCUUAAAGACCUAUCUCCUACCCAAAAGUUCUGGAAUUAGAAAUGGCAUUGCAGAGCAAUAUCGAUACAGGCGACCUCACGAAAUAGUGCAGGUGAAGAGAAGGAAUCGUACGAAAAGGAACUGCACCGAGACGAGAACGAGAUCGAAAUCUCUCCGCCGCCUCCGGACUCGGCGGUGGGGCUGCCACCGGAAGAGUACUUCAACUUUUGUGUUGUUGAAUAUAUAUUUUCUUUUAUUUACCAUUAACAUCCAUCAGUCUUACUGUUGUGGGCGGGGCGACGGAUCUAGAACCUAUUUUUAAUGUGGUUGUGGGCUGUGGAUCUGGAGAAGAUUGUGAUGGUGGCGGUUGUGGCGGUGAUGGUACAGGAUGGUUGAAUUGGUGGUGGGGAGCGGCGGGGCAGCGGCGGAGUUGAAGCGGUGGUGAUUUAUGGGUAUGGUGGAGGGGCUGGUGAGUUGGAGCGGGGAAGAAGAAGACUUUUAUUUUAGGGGUAAUAUGCUAGGAGUUCCACAAAUGAAACUUAAUUUGAACUAAAUGACAAGUUCAAAUCCAACAUUUUAAUUAAAUUAUUAAUUUAAAAUAAU
rnacentral:lncRNA from 1 species